UACGAAGGUGGCAAGCGUUGUUCGGAUUUACUGGGCGUACAGGGAGCGUAGGCGGUUGGAUAAGCCCUCCGUGAAAUCUCCAGGCUUAACCUGGAAAGUGCAGAGGGGACUGUUCAGCUAGAGGAUGGGAGAGGAGCGCGGAAUUCCCGGUGUAGCGGUGAAAUGCGUAGAGAUCGGGAGGAACACCUGCGGUGUAGACGGCUUUCUGGACCAUUGUUGACGCUGAGACACGAAAGCGUGGGUAGCAAACAGG
rnacentral:rRNA from 1 species